CAAGGUUAAGUAAACAGAGAUGGAGAAGAUCAGGGGUGGGGAACCUCCUGCCCGGGGGCCGUAUGAGGCCUGUGAAAUCACUCGGUCUGGCCCUGCCAAGGCAUUAGGGAGUAACGAUGACGUGAAGGUACCUACAAAAGUGAUGAUGUAGAGCUUCCUACUGAAAAAGAAUAACAAAUUGCAGUGCAUCUCAAAUCUACCACAUGAAUAACUUCAAUACAUACUCAAUAUGGAAAUCAGAAAGUGUGGCUCAUGAAACUUUCAGCAAGUGCUUCCAUCAUGGGCAAAAACACAUCAAAUGAAAGCUCAGUUUAUUCCUUCAUUCGAUCAUUCAAUUCAGCCCAUAUUACUGAUAUCCUACGGUGGCCCAGGCACUGAUCUUGGCCCUGAAGAUGUAACAAUGAGCAGAGCAAAGUCCAUGCUCUCAUGGAGCUUUUGUCUAGUGGAGGAAGACAGUAAAUAAAUAUACCCUCGGUCAGGUGGAGACAAAAUAUGAAGGAAAGCUGAAGAUUAAAAAUGGUGGUGGAGUAAGUGGAUGCUGCACGGACAUGCUCCCAGGUCCAAACUGGAAUUACUACUAAAAUACAGAAAAACUUACUGAAUAAUCAACGGAAGACUCGCUGGAGAGAACCUGAUAACCGAGGACCAAAAGUGGAGACGGCAUAGAG